CGUACCCCCACUUGUCCAAUCCGCCAGUCGUCGUGUCCACCUGCCGUUUCACUCUCCGAGGAACGCACGCACUCCAUUGCUCUUCUCCUCCAUCGCCGUCCCCCCUUGCGCCACGCCGACGCCGAACUAAAAAGGCCCAGGGAUGUGCUAGGUGUAGAUAGCUGCCGUUGGCUCGACACGCGCCUACGCGAGGGGCGGCGCGAGAUGAAGGACGCCAAGUGGCCCGCACCGAUGAUGGGCGGCGGCGGGAGGCGCGCCCCUGCGCCCUACUCUCUCCUCGCCACCUCUCCUCCCACCAGCACCAGCAACGACGGCUGCUCGCCGCACUACCCUCCAGCGGCUUCCGACGCCGCCGCCUCCUCGUUCAAGCCCCCACCGCAGCGGCACAGCCCGCAGCUGGGCGUUGGCGUGGCGGACUGGCUGCGGCUGCAGCGGCAGUCCAGCGGGAGCAGCGUCGGCGGCGAAGACGGCGAGGUAUUCUCCUCCGUCUCCACCGUCGCCAAUGCGGAGCACAGGGGCGACGCGGAUCGACCGCCGGGCAGCAGCGGCGGCGGCAGCAAAAGCUGGGCGCAGCAGGCGGAGGAGGCUUACCAGCUCCAGCUCGCCCUCGCGCUCCGCCUCUGCUCCGAUGCCGCUUCCGCCGCCGACCCUAACUUCCUCGACUCCUCCGCCGCCGACCACCACGACAUCGCCACCUCGCCCCAGUCCCUCUCCUACCGCUUCUGGGUCAAUGGCAGCUUGUCCUACUCCGACAAGGUCUCAGAUGGCUUCUACCUCAUCCAGGGGAUGGAUCCCUUCAUAUGGACCCUCUGCACCGACGUGCAGGACGGCGGGCGUGUCCCGUCCAUCGAGUCCCUCAAGGCUUUGAAUCCCACCGAAUCAUCCAUUGAGAUCGUUCUCAUAGAUAAGGUGGCCGACUAUGACCUGAGGCAGCAGAUUAGCACCGCGAUUGACGUCUCUCGGAGCUGUGCCGACACCAAGGAAAUAACAACUCGCCUCGCCAGCAUUGUGUCCGUGAAGAUGGGGGGUUCAGUAGCAUCCACCGAAGAACAUGAGUUGGCUCCCCGGUGGAGAGACUCCGUUGGGUUCCUCAAGAUUAGCUCAGCUUCUGUUUUGCUUCCGAUUGGGAAGUUAUCAGUUGGCCUUUGUUCCCACCGAGCGUUGCUGUUCAAGACCCUAGCAGAUUCUAUCAAUCUUCCUUGUCGAAUUGUGAGGGGAUGCAAAUAUUGCAAAGCUGUUGGUGCUGCCUCUUGCUUGGUGCGCUUUUGCCACAACAGGGAAUAUCUAAUUGAUUUGAUAGGGAACCCAGGCUUCUUGUCUGAACCUGACUCCCUUUUGAAUGGUCUAUCGUCUAUGUCCAUUUCAUCACCAUUGCGCCCACCGAAACACAGUUCAGUUGCUAUUGUUGAUAACUUCAAGUCAUUAGCCAAGCAGUAUUUCCUUGAUUGUCAAUCACUAAAUCUCUUGUUCAAUGUUCCAGCCGCAGGAACAGUUGUUGACUUAGAUGAGGGCAUGGGAUCAAAUCUUGGUCCAAAGCCAUCACGCGCAACAAAAAGUGAUUUGCAAGCUACCUUUUCUCAUAUUAAGGGUGAUGCUCAACGAAACGGUCAAGAUGGAAAUUUUAUAAGGCAAAGGAGUUUUCCUGAAGAUACCCUAUCUGAACAAAGUGAUCCCUUCAGUGAUAUCUCUCUAAACAUAGAGGACUUGAUUAUUCCAUGGAACAAACUUGCUGUGAGAGAAAAAAUCGGCGCUGGUUCUUUUGGAACUGUGCACCGUGCAGAUUGGAAUGGCUCGGAUGUUGCUGUGAAGAUUCUAAUGGAUCAGGAUCUCCAUCCAGAGCGUCUCAAGGAGUUUCUAAGGGAGGUUGCAAUUAUGAAAAGUCUGCGACAUCCAAACAUUGUUCUUCUUAUGGGUGCUGUUACUCAGCCACCCAACCUUUCAAUUGUGACCGAGUAUCUAUCAAGAGGUAACCUAUACAGGCUUUUACACAGGCAUGGUGCAAGGGAAAAUCUAGACGAGAGGCGGCGCUUGAGUAUGGCCUUCGAUGUGGCAAAGGGGAUGAAUUAUCUUCAUAAGCGCAACCCUCCAAUAGUUCAUCGGGAUUUAAAGUCACCAAACUUGUUGGUUGACAAAAAAUACACUGUGAAAGUCUGUGACUUUGGUCUCUCCAGAUUGAAGGCAAACACAUUUUUGUCAUCCAAGACUGCAGCAGGGACUCCUGAGUGGAUGGCACCAGAAGUUCUACGUGAUGAGCCAUCCAAUGAAAAGUCUGAUGUGUACAGCUUUGCUGUUAUCCUAUGGGAGCUCAUGACUUUGCAGCAGCCAUGGAGUAAUUUAAAUCCAGCUCAGGUGGUAGCAGCUGUUGGAUUUAGGGGAAGAAGGCCUGAGAUUCCAAGUAGUGUUGAUCCAAAAGUGGCGGCAAUAAUUGAAUCUUGCUGGGCGAAAGAACCCUGGAGACGACCCUCUUUCACCAGUAUCAUGGAAUCCCUGAAACCUCUUAUCAAGGUAUUACCACCCCAUCAACUACAAGAAGAACAUUAGUUACAGCUCAUGAGGCCUAUCCUGGAGAUCCCAACAUCUUUUGAUAGCUUACAAAAAGAAACAGAAUGGAAUGAUUAAGCCUGUUACUGCCGUUACAGACUUUAUGUGGAACUAUGGAUAUCCGGAUGCAACCAAACUGAGCACAUACUUUAUUUGAAUUGGAAUUCAUUGAAGUUCGCAUCACAUUUCAAUAUGUGUAAUUAUUCUUUACUCAUUUCAUUGGAGGGACGGAUGGUUGAGCCCAGGAUUGGUAAGAAUAGAGUCAUUUAGGUUGGUUGAUAGGAAGAGCUAGUAUUCUGUUUGGUUAGACGGAUGAGCAUACAGUUACGGAUUCUAUGGAUUGAAGGAUUUUCACGGGAGAUUUUGGUAGGAUUCUAACCA